rnacentral:rRNA from 1 species
UGAACGCUGGCGGCAUGCCUUACACAUGCAAGUCGAACGGCAGCACGGGUGCUUGCACCUGGUGGCGAGUGGCGAACGGGUGAGUAAUACAUCGGAACAUGUCCUGUAGUGGGGGAUAGCCCGGCGAAAGCCGGAUUAAUACCGCAUACGAUCUACGGAUGAAAGCGGGGGACCUUCGGGCCUCGCGCUAUAGGGUUGGCCGAUGGCUGAUUAGCUAGUUGGUGGGGUAAAGGCCUACCAAGGCGACGAUCAGUAGCUGGUCUGAGAGGACGACCAGCCACACUGGGACUGAGACACGGCCCAGACUCCUACGGGAGGCAGCAGUGGGGAAUUUUGGACAAUGGGCGAAAGCCUGAUCCAGCAAUGCCGCGUGUGUGAAGAAGGCCUUCGGGUUGUAAAGCACUUUUGUCCGGAAAGAAAUCCUUGGCUCUAAUACAGUCGGGGGAUGACGGUACCGGAAGAAUAAGCACCGGCUAACUACGUGCCAGCAGCCGCGGUAAUACGUAGGGUGCGAGCGUUAAUCGGAAUUACUGGGCGUAAAGCGUGCGCAGGCGGUUUGCUAAGACCGAUGUGAAAUCCCCGGGCUCAACCUGGGAACUGCAUUGGUGACUGGCAGGCUAGAGUAUGGCAGAGGGGGGUAGAAUUCCACGUGUAGCAGUGAAAUGCGUAGAGAUGUGGAGGAAUACCGAUGGCGAAGGCAGCCCCCUGGGCCGAUACUGACGCUCAUGCACGAAAGCGUGGGGGAGCAAACAGGAUUAGAUACCCUGGUAGUCCACGCCCUAAACGAUGUCAACUAGUUGUUGGGGAUUCAUUUCCUUAGUAACGUAGCUAACGCGUGAAGUUGACCGCCUGGGGAGUACGGUCGCAAGAUUAAAACUCAAAGGAAUUGACGGGGACCCGCACAAGCGGUGGAUGAUGUGGAUUAAUUCGAUGCAACGCGAAAAACCUUACCUACCCUUGACAUGGUCGGAAUCCCGCUGAGAGGUGGGAGUGCUCGAAAGAGAACCGGCGCACAGGUGCUGCAUGGCUGUCGUCAGCUCGUGUCGUGAGAUGUUGGGUUAAGUCCCGCAACGAGCGCAACCCUUGUCCUUAGUUGCUACGCAAGAGCACUCUAAGGAGACUGCCGGUGACAAACCGGAGGAAGGUGGGGAUGACGUCAAGUCCUCAUGGCCCUUAUGGGUAGGGCUUCACACGUCAUACAAUGGUCGGAACAGAGGGUUGCCAACCCGCGAGGGGGAGCUAAUCCCAGAAAACCGAUCAUAGUCCGGAUUGCACUCUGCAACUCGAGUGCAUGAAGCUGGAAUCGCUAGUAAUCGCGGAUCAGCAUGCCGCGGUGAAUACGUUCCCGGGUCUUGUACACACCGCCCGUCACACCAUGGGAGUGGGUUUUACCAGAAGUGGCUAGUCUAACCGCAAGGAGGACGGUCACCACGGUAGGAUUCAUGACUGGGG